rnacentral:rRNA from 1 species
UUAAGCGACUAAGCGUACACGGUGGAUGCCCUGGCAGUCAGAGGCGAUGAAGGACGUGCUAAUCUGCGAAAAGCGUCGGUAAGGUGAUAUGAACCGUUAUAACCGGCGAUGUCCGAAUGGGGAAACCCAGUGUGAUUCGUCACACUAUCGUUAACUGAAUACAUAGGUUAACGAGGCGAACCGGGGGAACUGAAACAUCUAAGUACCCCGAGGAAAAGAAAUCAACCGAGAUUCCCCCAGUAGCGGCGAGCGAACGGGGAGCAGCCCAGAGUCUGAAUCAGCUUGUGUGUUAGUGGAACGGUCUGGAAAGUCCGACGGUACAGGGUGAUAGUCCCGUACACCAAAAUGCACAGGCUGUGAACUCGAAGAGUAGGGCGGGACACGUGGUAUCCUGUCUGAAUAUGGGGGGACCAUCCUCCAAGGCUAAAUACUCCUGACUGACCGAUAGUGAACCAGUACCGUGAGGGAAAGGCGAAAAGAACCCCGGCGAGGGGAGUGAAAAAGAACCUGAAACCGUGUACGUACAAGCAGUGGGAGCACCUUCGGGUGUGACUGCGUACCUUUUGUAUAAUGGGUCAGCGACUUAUAUUCUGUAGCAAGGUUAACCGUAUAGGGGAGCCGCAGGGAAACCGAGUCUUAACUGGGCGUUAAGUUGCAGGGUAUAGACCCGAAACCCGGUGAUCUAGCCAUGGGCAGGUUGAAGGUUGGGUAACACUAACUGGAGGACCGAACCGACUAAUGUUGAAAAAUUAGCGGAUGACUUGUGGCUGGGGGUGAAAGGCCAAUCAAACCGGGAGAUAGCUGGUUCUCCCCGAAAGCUAUUUAGGUAGCGCCUCGUGAACUCAUCUUCGGGGGUAGAGCACUGUUUCGGCUAGGGGGUCAUCCCGACUUACCAACCCGAUGCAAACUACGAAUACCGAAGAAUGUUAUCACGGGAGACACACGGCGGGUGCUAACGUCCGUCGUGAAGAGGGAAACAACCCAGACCGCCAGCUAAGGUCCCAAAGUCAUGGUUAAGUGGGAAACGAUGUGGGAAGGCACAGACAGCCAGGAUGUUGGCUUAGAAGCAGCCAUCAUUUAAAGAAAGCGUAAUAGCUCACUGGUCGAGUCGGCCUGCGCGGAAGAUGUAACGGGGCUAAACCAUGCACCGAAGCUGCGGCAGCGACACUAUGUGUUGUUGGGUAGGGGAGCGUUCUGUAAGCCUGCGAAGGUGACCUGUGAGGGUUGCUGGAGGUAUCAGAAGUGCGAAUGCUGACAUAAGUAACGAUAAAGCGGGUGAAAAGCCCGCUCGCCGGAAGACCAAGGGUUCCUGUCCAACGUUAAUCGGGGCAGGGUGAGUCGACCCCUAAGGCGAGGCCGAAAGGCGUAGUCGAUGGGAAACAGGUUAAUAUUCCUGUACUUGGUGUUACUGCGAAGGGGGGACGGAGAAGGCUAUGUUAGCCGGGCGACGGUUGUCCCGGUUUAAGCAUGUAGGCUGGUUGUCCAGGCAAAUCCGGAUAAUCAAGGCUGAGGUGUGAUGACGAGGCACUACGGUGCUGAAGUAACAAAUGCCCUGCUUCCAGGAAAAGCCUCUAAGCAUCAGGUAACAUUAAAUCGUACCCCAAACCGACACAGGUGGUCAGGUAGAGAAUACCAAGGCGCUUGAGAGAACUCGGGUGAAGGAACUAGGCAAAAUGGUGCCGUAACUUCGGGAGAAGGCACGCUGGUGUGUAGGUGAAGUCCCUGCGGAUGGAGCUGAGACCAGUCGAAGAUACCAGCUGGCUGCAACUGUUUAUUAAAAACACAGCACUGUGCAAACACGAAAGUGGACGUAUACGGUGUGACGCCUGCCCGGUGCCGGAAGGUUAAUUGAUGGGGUUAUCCGUAAGGAGAAGCUCUUGAUCGAAGCCCCGGUAAACGGCGGCCGUAACUAUAACGGUCCUAAGGUAGCGAAAUUCCUUGUCGGGUAAGUUCCGACCUGCACGAAUGGCGUAAUGAUGGCCAGGCUGUCUCCACCCGAGACUCAGUGAAAUUGAACUCGCUGUGAAGAUGCAGUGUACCCGCGGCAAGACGGAAAGACCCCGUGAACCUUUACUAUAGCUUGACACUGAACAUUGAGCCUUGAUGUGUAGGAUAGGUGGGAGGCUUUGAAGCGUGGACGCCAGUCUGCGUGGAGCCAACCUUGAAAUACCACCCUUUAAUGUUUGAUGUUCUAACGUUGGCCCCUUAUCGGGGUUGCGGACAGUGUCUGGUGGGUAGUUUGACUGGGGCGGUCUCCUCCCAAAGCGUAACGGAGGAGCACGAAGGUUAGCUAAUCCUGGUCGGACAUCAGGAGGUUAGUGCAAUGGCAUAAGCUAGCUUGACUGCGAGCGUGACGGCGCGAGCAGGUGCGAAAGCAGGUCAUAGUGAUCCGGUGGUUCUGAAUGGAAGGGCCAUCGCUCAACGGAUAAAAGGUACUCCGGGGAUAACAGGCUGAUACCGCCCAAGAGUUCAUAUCGACGGCGGUGUUUGGCACCUCGAUGUCGGCUCAUCACAUCCUGGGGCUGAAGUAGGUCCCAAGGGUAUGGCUGUUCGCCAUUUAAAGUGGUACGCGAGCUGGGUUUAGAACGUCGUGAGACAGUUCGGUCCCUAUCUGCCGUGGGCGCUGGAGAAUUGAGGGGGGCUGCUCCUAGUACGAGAGGACCGGAGUGGACGCAUCACUGGUGUUCGGGUUGUCAUGCCAAUGGCACUGCCCGGUAGCUAAAUGCGGAAGAGAUAAGUGCUGAAAGCAUCUAAGCACGAAACUUGCCCCGAGAUGAGUUCUCCCUGAGACUUUAAGUCUCCUGAAGGAACGUUAAAGACGAUGACGUUGAUAGGCCGGGUGUGUAAGCGCAGCGAUGCGUUGAGCUAACCGGUACUAAUGAACCGUGAGGCUUAACCUU